AUCCCUUGGGUGCUCACCAGCCCAGCCAAUACCAGCCGGCGCUGAUGACUCAUUCAGCAAAGCCUUGCUAAAUAGUGGAAGAUCCCAUUUCGAGCACAGGCGGCACCCUUUUUUUGCGGCAACGCCAGAAAAUGAAGCCGGCGUCUGAGCCGACGGGAGCGGGUCGCAAAAGCCCCCCGUGGGAGACGGGGUGUUCGCCAGAGAGAUGCCCGGGGUGUCCACAGGGCUGGCAGGGCUAUGAACCACCAUGAUUAACAAACAGCCGUGGAACUAUGACUUCAUUGCUGACCCAGUAAUAAAAUGGCAGGUGGAAAUUCGA